UCUGUAUCACCACCAGCACCACCAUUAUAAUGUUCUUGGUACUUUUACUAUUUCAGCAACUAUCUCCAAUGCCCUUGUAACUAUCUUUGCUUCUACCCCUUUAAUUGCUUUAUUAAUCAUGCUGCAACUGACCUCAAUAAAAGCUCUUCUCUUCUACUUACACAAGACUCUCCUGCUUAUACAAGCUAAUUCAUCAAUAUUUCAUGGACACUUCCUCAUCUCUUUUAUUAGAACUGCAAAAAGUAUACACACUUCUUCCCGUCAUCUUUAUUUAUAGAAGUAUACUGCCUUUCGUCAUGUGGAAGAACAUUGUCAAGCUUCUUGCUCACAUUCUUUUUCUUGGCUAAAUAUACUUGGCAUGAAGCUUCCUAAUCACAUAGACCUCCUACUAUUGCUCUUUCUACUACUCCUUGCGAGCCUAUCAUGUAGCUCUGUUCACUACACAGCCUCCACCACAUCAUCUGUUGCUAGGCUGGAGCUUGCAUCCAUUAACAGAGUCAGUCAAUUGCUACAGUGAAUGAAAUGGCUUCGACCAAAAGAUCUUGUAAAUGUAAGCCCAACAUAUUCUGCUACAUCUGCGGUGAAUACACCAUUGUUUCUAACAGGAAUCCAGUCACAAGUUUCAUAAAACAUGCUUACCAUGCUUAUUUUCUUAUUUUGCUAUCAAAUUUGGUGACCAGGACAAAGCUUGGGUGCCACACAUGGUAUGCAAAGUAUGCACCAAGAAUUGACGUCAGUAGACCAAAGACAAGAAGAGUUGUCUGAAGUUUGGAAUUCUCAUGGAUUGGAGGGAACCAACAAACCAUGGUACUGACUGCUAUUUCUGUGCUUUUAAUGUGACUGGGAUCAACAGAAAGAACUGGAGCAGCCUUAAGUAUCCUGAUCUUCAAUCUGCAUGUCGUCCUUUAACUCACUGUGAUGAAAUUUCAGUACCUGUCUUCAGAGAACUUCUUAACACUAUUGAUGAAGAAUCCUCCAGUGUUCAAGAAGAUGAAGAGGAAGUAGUUCUUGAUGAUGAUGCUCCACAUCCUUUUUCCAAAAAGGAACUAAAUGAUCUAGUUCGUGACCUCAGAUUGUCAAAGUUCUCUGCCAAACUGUUGGCAUCCAGAUUGAAGGAAAAAAAAUCUCCUCUGAAUUUUGAACAAUGAUGACACAGCAUUUAAUUUACAUGUACUUAUCUUUGUCAGUGUCUCUAUUCAAUUUACAGUAAUCGAAGCUUGUAACAUUUAAUUAAUAAAUUGUGCUAGAAAACAA